rnacentral:rRNA from 1 species
UUGCUUUUUGAUAUAUCAUAAAAAGUAAUUCCUGCCCAGUGAAUAUAUUCAACGGCCGCGGUAUCCUAACCGUGCAAAGGUAGCAUAAUCAUUUGCCCAUUAAUUGUGGGCUAGAAUGAACGGACCAACGAAAUAAAACCUGUCUCUGUAAACUCCAUAUAAAUUAAAAUCUAACUGAAGAUUGUUAGAUACUACUGAAGGACAAGAAGACCCUAUAGAGCUUAAUUUUAAAUUGUACUAAAGUCAAUCUAAAAAUUCGGUUGGGGCGACCAGGGAAAUUAAUUAUCAUCCCUUAAAUCAAAGAUUUAUUAAUCUAUAAAUAAGACCCUACUAUGAUCUAAAGAACAAGCUACCUUAGGGAUAACAGGCUAAUCCUACUAAAGAGUCCUUAUCUAUAGUGGGGGUUGGCACCUCGAUGUUGGCUUAGGGAAUCUAUAUAAUGCAAAAGUUAUAUGAAGAUGGUUUGUUCAACCAAUAACACCCUACAUGAGCUGAGUUCAGACCGGCGUAAGCCAGGUUAGUUUCUAUCCUCAAAAUUUACAUCUAUUUAUAGUACGAAAGGAUCUAAAUAGGGUAAUAAUUACACUUAUAGAACUCAUAUAAUAUACUACUUAAUUAUUUUUAAUAUCCACAAUA